rnacentral:rRNA from 1 species
UACGGAGGGUGCUAGCGUUGUUCGGAAUCACUGGGCGUAAAGGGCGCGUAGGCGGCCCUCCUUGUCGCGUGUGAAAGCCCCGGGCUCAACCUGGGAACGGCGCGCGAGACGGGGGGGCUGGAGUUCGGGAGUGGAGCGUGGAAUUCCCAGUGUAGAGGUGAAAUUCGUAGAUAUUGGGAAGAACACCGGUGGCGAAGGCGGCGCUCUGGACCGAGACUGACGCUGAGGCGCGAAAGCGUGGGGAGCAAACAGG